GGAGAACCGCCUUCAGGCGUUUGGACUCAGUGGAGGUUGUGAGUGCCCAGCAGUGUGGCCUGAAUCUCCGUGGGGUUUAGGGAGACGAAAGGACCCCAGAUCGACGUCCCCUCGUUCCCACUUUGGGGAUCGGCGCUCUGGCUGUUUCGUGAAGGAGAGAGAGGUUGAUUCCAUACCCUGGCUAUUGUGAAUAAUGCUGCAGUGAACAUGGGAGUACAUACAUCUGUUUGAGGAACUCAGAGUGGUUUUCCAGAUGGGAAUCACAUUGCUCUCUGUCCCUGAGAUCUUGCUGGAGACAGGGCUACUCAGUCCCUCUUUGCCAGAUUGAUACUGGAAAAGCAGUUUCUAUUGAGCCCCCAAAUGAAGAGUGAGUGCAGAUGAAGAGGAGGCAGGACUCACAAGCCCUUGAACUUUAUUCCAGAUCUGUUAGCACCUACAGGACCCUGCACCAGGAUUUCAUCUGUACUAUCAGCUUCUUCAAAGAGAGAGAGGUUGUUGAAUUGAUAUUGGAAAAGCAGUUUCCCAUUGAGUCUCAAAUGAAGAGAGUGCAGAUGAAGAGGAGCUCUUCAUGUGGAUGUCUGAGCUCAUAUCAGGUGUCUGAAAGAGGCAGAUUCUGAGGAUUUGGGUCAUGAUGGCUGCCAAAGCUUCUACUCCUGACUUAAAGGGCAACAAUCCUAGGAGACCACCAGCACUUACAUCCCUGGUAGGACAUGACACCUGCUUAUGGCUCAGAAGUGACAAAAGAGAAUUAUCAGGAUGGCAGUCCUUAUAACCAGAUGCUUAUCAACAUUCUUCACUACAUUCUGAAGAUGAAUUUCUACAAGGGAAAUUGUUUAUAUUUGUUGUUGGGGAUAGAUAAGGAAAGAAGAAAAAGGCUCUGGUGAGAAACCCAUUGUACCUUCUGGAUAUGAUCACUACCCAAUUUUAUCAGUGUCAUUGAUCACUAACCCAGUGCCUCGUAUGGUGCCAGGCACAGAGUUACUCCAAGAAUGUACAAUAAUGGCUGGAUUCUCUUUCUCCCUGUGCAACUCUUCAUGCAUGUGACUGAACUUAUAUUAAGUGUCUGAAGGAGGUUCGUUCUGAGGAUCUGGGACAUGAUGGGUGCUGAAGCUUCUACUCAAGAUUUGAAGGGCAGCUGUCCUCAGGAGACCCCUGGCACUUCCCUCCAUGGUGGGAUGUGAUGCCUGAUUCCAGUGAGUUCAUAGAGCUGAACAAAAGUACGUUGUGGAAUAGCUCCUGUGAGGUUCACAACAUAGUCCGGAAGAUGAGAAACUACUUUUUUUAGUAACCUGGAUUCCCAUCUAAGAGAUGCCUUACUUUAUCGUAAAGCAAUGAGUUGUUCACUUGAGGAGGGAACUUCAUGUUUAACAUGUAUUUGCAACAAAUUUACAUACAUUUUCUGCCUGUAUGAAUAGUUGUCAGUGAUGCCCAUGAAUUUCUCAGAUGGAUGUUGAAGUAUACAGUUAGAAGGUUAGAAGAUCUUCCUAGCAAUCUGUGAUUACGGUAUGCAUUCUUCCAUGGUUUCUACGUUUUUGUCUAUUCUAUAAUGAAAUUUUCUAAGAAGCCAGAAAUUAAUUAAGUGCUACCUAAAAAUAUCAAAAUGUCAGGUACAAGAAUUUGGCAUUUUCAAAAUUAGUAAUUACAAUGUAAGUUUGCCCUAUUAUAAUGAUACCCAGCUAUGUCCAGUAACAUAACUAGAUUGUUCUGAAUACCGUUAUUAUUUCCCAAUAAUACAAACAUCACAAUUUCAGUUCUGUAGUACCUGGCCUACCUACCCUUCCCACUGCCUUGCCCCAGGUAAACACAGCAUGCCUGUCACUAUACAUUAUUUUACAUGCCUGGAAAUAUAUUUAAAUGGAAUCAUAGAGGUGGUUUCUUUUUUUUUUUUUUAUCAACACCUGGCUUUUUUCAUUCACUCCACUUAUUUUUAUAUUUAUCCAUUUUAUUGCAUUUAUCUAUUGAUAUACUUCAUUCUUUUUGAUUGCUAAAUACUAUUGCGGUAUACAACCACACUAAACAUUUUAUUAUCCAUCCAUUUGUCGAUGGACAUUUUGGUUGUUUCUCAUUUGGGGCUCUUGUAAAUAAAGCUGCUAUGAACAUU
ensembl:lncRNA LINC00630 long intergenic non-protein coding RNA 630